GAUGAACGCUGGCGGCGUGCUUAACACAUGCAAGUCGAGCGAAGCACUAAAGCGGAUUUCUUCGGAUUGAAGGUUUAGUGACUGAGCGGCGGACGGGUGAGUAACGCGUGGGUAACCUGCCUCAUACAGGGGGAUAACAGUUGGAAACGGCUGCUAAUWCCGCAUAAGCGCACAGUACCGCAUGGUACGGUGUGAAAAACUCCGGUGGUAUGAGAUGGACCCGCGUCUGAUUAGGUAGUUGGUGGGGUAACGGCCUACCAAGCCGACGAUCAGUAGCCGACCUGAGAGGGUGACCGGCCACAUUGGGACUGAGACACGGCCCAAACUCCUACGGGAGGCAGCAGUGGGGAAUAUUGCACAAUGGGGGAAACCCUGAUGCAGCGACGCCGCGUGAGCGAAGAAGUAUUUCG
rnacentral:rRNA from 1 species